rnacentral:lncRNA from 1 species
UUUUGAGAGAGGACUUUGGACUGGAAGAUAUGUCUGAGAAGAAGGACAAUAAGGUAGACACAAACGGUGCCUCUGAUUGGCCAUCCUGCUUGUUAACAUCUUUCACCACGUGGUAAUGAACAUGGAGAAAGGAAGAAGAAGCAGAUGGGGUUUGGUCUGUAGGGGAGGGGUCACCUACUCUUCCCCUUCACUGCUCGUCUGAUCUCUCUUGUCUGCCACACCUGGCACAGGUGAAGACAAAGAAGCCUUAGCAAGCUACCAAGAAGGUAGAGGAAGGCUCACUUCAUCCUCAGAGAGCCUGUGGCCCCAUGGCCUGUAGUAACUCUGGGGUAGAGGGUAGGUGCUCACCGAGGCUGGAGUGAGAGAGGUUACAGACAACUGUUAUUGGCUAGCAGUCUGUAGGAAGGAAGUCCCUGAGCUGUCACUAUUCAAGUGGCCUCUGGAGUAGGACUUUAAGGUCCUGAGGCAUUGGAAAUCUCGUCUUUAGGGAGGUACUGGCUUGAUGCUCCUCCCACCUGACCUAAGGAGUCUUCCUUCCAACAUCUCCACGUGACUGGCCUUCAUAGCCCCACCAUUCAGGAAGGAACCCACUGAAGAGAGUAGACAUGAAGUGGCAGGGACUCUGAGUGGCUGAGUGGCAAUGGCAAGAUUUCGGCUGAAGUCUGUCUGGUUAUCAACCCUUUGAAAUCCAGCUCUGCAAAGCAGGGCACUGUGGGACCUACUAAGACCUUUUGUAAGAAGGUGGGUAACAGGGUG